GGACACCAUGCCUCAUCUCUUGCCUGGGACUUGCAGAAUAAUUACUAAGCACAAUCCCUCGGGGGCCGGUGUGUACCAGUGGUGUGUGAUUCAAGCCAGGAGAGUGAGGUGAAAAGCCUGUUUGAGCAAGUAGAUCGGGAACAGCAGGGGCGGCUAGAUGUUCUGGUCAAUAAUGCCUAUGCUGGUGUACAGGUAACCUUUUAACUCGAUCCAACUCUCCAUUCCAAACCCAACCCCCAACCCUUGAGUCUUUAUCUCCAUGCAUGGUCCCACUAACCAGCCCUUUAUACCUUCAUGCCAAUCAAUCACCCAGUUAAUCACUCUCAUGUCCUCUAGGCAAUCCUGAACACCACCACCAAGUCAUUCUGGGAAGCACCUGCCUCCCUUUGGGAUGAUAUAAACAAUGUUGGACUCAGAGGCCACUACUUAUGCUCUGUGUAUGGGGCACGGCUGAUGGUACCAGCUGGCAAAGGACUUAUCGUGGUUGUCUCUUCCCCCGGGGGGCUGCAGCAUAUGUUCAAUGUCCCUUAUGGUGUGGGCAAAGCUGCGUGCGACAAACUGGCUGCUGACUGUGCCCAUGAGCUACGGCGUCAUGGAGUCAGCUACGUAUCUCUG
rnacentral:lncRNA from 1 species